rnacentral:rRNA from 1 species
AUUGAACGCUGGUGGCAGGCCUAACACAUGCAAGUCGAACGGUAACAGGAAGAAGCUUGCUUCUUUGCUGACGAGUGGCGGACGGGUGAGUAAUGUCUGGGAAACUGCCUGAUGGAGGGGGAUAACUACUGGAAACGGUAGCUAAUACCGCAUAACGUCGCAAGACCAAAGAGGGGGACCUUCGGGCCUCUUGCCAUCGGAUGUGCCCAGAUGGGAUUAGCUAGUAGGUGGGGUAACGGCUCACCUAGGCGACGAUCCCUAGCUGGUCUGAGAGGAUGACCAGCCACACUGGAACUGAGACACGGUCCAGACUCCUACGGGAGGCAGCAGUGGGGAAUAUUGCACAAUGGGCGCAAGCCUGAUGCAGCCAUGCCGCGUGUAUGAAGAAGGCAUUCGGGUUGUAAAGUACUUUCAGCGGGGAGGAAGGGAGUAAAGUUAAUACCUUUGCUCAUUGACGGUACCCGCAGAAGAAGCACCGGCUAACUCCGUG